CAAGGUGUGCAGUAGGAAAUUUAUAAUUUGGCAUCUGGCUCAUCCAUUCAUUUCUCAUUGGUGUGGUUCAUGUGUGCUUGCAAAGGUCAGACUUCUGCCCUUUGAAUGUCCUCUCUCCCUCUCCCACAGAAAACACCCACAUGUGGAUCCUUGUUUAAAGCAGAAAGUCCUAGUCCUGAGCUUUUAGUGAGGUGGAUGUCAUCAGGCCUGGGUUGGCAUCCUGUUUUUUACCAUGGCAAGUCAUAUGCGCCCUUAAGCAUUCCUGCUUUUGGUCCAAGCUUCCUGCGUGGGAAUACUGCGGUCCUCCUUUCAGGCAGCUGUGAAUGACAAACGGUCGCUGGCUGCCGUGACACCCAUUGUCCCGCGAGAGUGCCCUAGCUGGGCCCCAGUGCACUCGAGGCGGUGCCUGCUCGGGUGCCCCUCCCACAGGCAGGCGCCGUUGCCGACCAAACGCCCAGGUUCACCCAGCGCCGGAGGCUCGUCCUCAAUCCCCGCGAGGCCCCCGGAGGUGCUAGGGUCCCUGCAGGGCCCGGCCACCUGCCGAGGAGCUCCGGCCGCGCCAGAAUCGGAUCCGGGAAGCUGCGCGCCAUGAGCAGCUCCCUGCGGCCGGGCCCCAGCCGCUGGCGGCGGGCGGCCAGCAUCGUCCUGGCGGCUGGCUGGUCGCGCCCGGAGACGGCCACCCCGCCGUCGCGCCCGCCGCCCUCCGAGGGCUUCCGGCUGCUGCUGCUGCAGCGUUCCCCGCACCAAGGCUUCAUGCCGGGCGCGCACGUCUUCUCGGGCGGAGUGCUGGAUGCGGCCGACCGCUCGGCGGACUGGCUGGGCCUCUUCGCGCCGCACCACGGGCCGCCGCGCUUCGGCCUGGGCCCGGCGCCAUUCAGCCGCACCGCUUUCCCGUCGCUGCCCGACACCGAUGACCACAAGGCCGACAACACUGGGACGCUGCCUGAGGACGUAGCCUUCCGCAUCUGCGCCGUGCGGGAGGCCUUCGAGGAGGCGGGCGUGCUGCUGCUGCGGCCCAGGACUUCCCCACCAGGCCCAGCACCCGGGCCUGGCCUCGCCCUGGAGCCGCCGCCGGGCCUGGCCUCCUGGCGCGACCGCGUGCGCCGGGACCCGCGCCACUUCCUGCGGCUGUGCGCCCACCUCGACUGCACACCCGACAUCUGGGCGCUGCACAACUGGAGCGCCUGGCUCACCCCUUUCUUGCGGGGCACCACUCGCCGCUUUGACACGGCCUUCUUCCUGUGCUGCCUGCGCGAGCCGCCGCCCGUCUACCCCGAUUUGGCGGAGGUGGUGGGCUACCAGACAGAGUCUUGCUCUGCCACCCAGGCUGGAGUGCAAUGGCACGAUCUCGGCUCACUGCAACCUCUGCCUCCCAGAUUCAAGCAAUUCUCCUGCCUCAGCCUCCUGAGUAGCUGGGAUUACAGGCACAUGCCACCAUGCCCAGCUAAGUUUUGUAUUUUUAGUAGAGACGGGGUUUCGCCAUGUUGGUCAGGCUGGUCUCAAACUCCUGACCUUGUGAUCCACCUGCCUUGGCCUCCCAAAGUACUGGGAUUACAGGCAUGAGCCACCAUGCCCAGCCUCUUGCAGUGGUCAUCUCCGUCAGAGGCAACUGAAAGUUUCUUAUCAAAAGAAAUUUGGUUGCCACCCCCACAGUUCUACGAAGUGAGAAGACUUGCAAACUUUGCCUCUCUCUCUGACUUGCACAAAUUUUGUUUGGGUCGUGCAUUAGAAGGACUGGAAAGGUGGCUGCCGAUCAUCUUGUUAACUGCUGAUGGGAUGGUCCAUCUUUUACCAGGUGAUGAGCUAUAUUUAGAAGAUUCAGACUUUUUGGAAAAUCUUAUGUCUACUGAAAAAAAGACUGAGGAAAUCAUGAAGGAAGGCAAGCAGUUUCACCGGAUAGUGACAUACCAUCGCCACCUUUAUGAUAUCCACGUGACUGUUCAGCCAAAGUAUAAACACGUUUAUCCUAAGAACUCUGUAGUAAGAAAAAGCCAUUUGUAGGGUGCUUAAGCUUGUUUGUAAAAUGGCCUACUUGAAGUCCUCAUGAAUAAUGAGGGUUGACUUUCAUUUGCUUGAAACUUAAGGAAGUUUGUGCCUAUAAAAGUUACUGCAAUUCAGUAUUUCUUUAUUUUUUUCGAGACAGAGUCUCAAUCUGUCGCCCAGGCUGGAGUACAGUGGCAUGAUAUAGGCUCACUGGAAGCUCUGCCUCAGGGGUUCAUGCCAUUCUCCUGCCUCAGCCUCCCGAGUAGCUGGGACUACAGGCGCCCGCCACCAUGCCCAGCUAAUUUUUUUUUGUAUUUUUAGUAGAGACGGGUUUUCACCAUGUUAGCCAGGAUGGUCUCAAUCUCUUGACCUCGUGAUACGCCCGCCUUGGCCUCCCAAAGUGCUGGGAUUACAGGUGUGGGCCACCACACCCAGCCUUUUUUUUUUUUUUUUUUUUUUUUGAGACAGAGUGUCUCACUCUUGCCCAGAACCCAGGCUGGAGUGCAGUGGCCCAAUCUCGGCUCACUGCAACCUCCACCUCCCAGGUUCCAGCGAUUCUCAUGCCUCAGCCUCCUGAGUAGCUGGGACUAUAGGCAUGCGCCACCAUGCCCCACUAAAUUUUGUAUUUUUAGUAGAAACAGAGUUUCACCAUGUUGGCCAGGCUGGUCUCGAUCUCCUGACCUCAUGAUCUGCCCGCCUUGGCCUCCCAAAGUGUGGGAUUACAGGCGUGAGCCACCGUGCCCAGCAUGGUGUUUCUUAUAUCAGGUGUUUUAGGGAGCUCGCUUGCUUAUUCCAUUCUUUAAUCCUUACAGUGUGCCACACGUAUGAAGUUUAUAACAUAUUAAUGAUCUCAUUACCCAAAACCAGAACAUAAUUUCACAAGGGUUCCUACUUCUGUAUUGUUUUAUUAUCUCAAAAAUUUAAAUAACAUGUUCUGCUGUUUAUUUUUCUUGUUGUCCACUGUAUUAACACCUUCCCUGAUGUGCUUUGGAGGUUGAUCAAUGAAUUUCUGAGACUUUCUGCUGGAAUUACUUUAAGGGUGUCUUAUUAGAUGGUGAAAAGUUGGCUGAGACACCCUUCAAGUGACCAUGUCAUUGUUUUCUUGCUAUGUCUUUAGCUUAAUGAUUAAGAUACAAUUCUUUUAAAAAUCAAAUGGUAUUAGUUAUUAUGUUUCCCAAAUUAGAAAUCGAUUUUAGUUAACAUUUUAUUUUAUUUUAUUUUAUUUUAUUUUAUUUUAUUUAUUUUUGAGACAGAGUCUCGCUCUGUUGCCCAGGCUGGAGUACAAUGGCGCAAUCUCGGCUCACUCCAAUCUCCGCCUCCCAGGUUCAAGCGAUUUUUCUGCCUCAGCCUCCCGAGUAGCUGGGAUUGCAGGCACCCACCACCACGCCCAGCUAAUCUUUGUAUUUUUAGUAGAAACGGGGUUUCACCAUGUUGGCCAGUCCGGUCUGGAACUUCUGACCUGAGGUGAUCUGCCCACCUUGGCCUCGCAAAGUGCUGAGAUUACAGGCUUGAGCCACCACGCCUGGCCUAGUUAGCAUUUUAAAGAAACACAAAGCCAUAACAAAAACCAUCAUUGUUUGUAUUCCACACUGUUAAUGAAUGUAAAGAGGUUAGAAAUGUAGUGUUUGAUUAAUGACGUUUAUUUUUACUGUAUUUAAUAUGAGUAAUUUUUCAUCAUCUUUCAAGAGGAAUAAUGUUUAUUGAUUAAAGGUGAGAAAUGAUAGUUAAGACACCAAUUCCAUGGCCAGAUCUUCGACUGUAUCAUGCAUUGUACAAUUGAUUUCAUAUUUUAUGAAAUGCCUUAAUUUUCCUACUAUAACAUAAAGACAAUGAUGAAUAAAGUUUAUGUGUAUGAUUUAA